GGUCAAAGGUCAAGGUCACGGUGACCCGAAAUAGUAAAAUGGUUUCCGGAUGAUAACUCAAGAACGCUUAUGCCUAGGAUCAUGAAACUUGAUAGGUAGAUUGAUCAUGACUCGCAGUUGACCCCUAUUGAUUUUCAGGUCACUAUAUCAAAGGUCAAGGUCACAGUGACCCGAAAUAGUAAAAUGGUUUCCUGAUGAUAACUCAAGAACGCUUGUGGCUACGGUCAUGAAACUUCAUAGGUACAAUGAUCAUGACUCGCAGAUGACCCCUAUUGAUUUUGAGGUCACUAGGUCAAAGGUCAAGGUCAUGGUGACCUGAAAUAGUAAAAUGGUUUCCGGAUGAUAACUCAAGAACGCUUAUGCCUAGGAUCAUGAAACUUCAUAGGUACAUUGAUCAUGACUCGCAGAUGACCCC